GAUAUCCUACGGGAGGCAGCAGUGAGGAAUAUUGGUCAAUGGGAGAGAUCCUGAACCAGCCAAGCCGCGUGAGGGAAGACGGCCCUAUGGGUUGUAAACCUCUUUUGUCGGAGAACAAAACCCGGGACGUGUCCCGGACUGCGUGUAUCCGAAGAAAAAGCAUCGGCUAACUCCGUGCCAGCAGCCGCGGUAAUACGGAGGAUGCGAGCGUUAUCCGGAUUUAUUGGGCGUAAAGCGAGUGCAGGCGGCUCAAUAAGUAUGAUGUGAAAGCCUUCGG
rnacentral:rRNA from 1 species